rnacentral:rRNA from 1 species
UACGAGAGGCCCAAACGUUAUUCGGAAUUACUGGGCUUAAAGAGUUCGUAGGCGGCGCAGAAAGUAGGGUGUGAAAGCCCUACGGCUCAACCGAGGAAUUGCGCUCUAAACUACUGUGCUUGAGGACCUAGAGGUGAGCAAGAACAGAUGGUGGAGCGGUGAAAUGCGUUGAUAUCGGGGAGGAACACCAGUGGCGAAGGCGGCUGGUCUGGGCCAGUUCUGGACGCUGAGGCGCGAAAGCGUGGGGAGCAA